rnacentral:rRNA from 1 species
AAUACCCAAUCCUGACACAGGGAGGUAGUGACAAGAAAUAACAAUACAGGGCUAAUGUCUUGUAAUUGGAAUGAUGGUGACCCAAACCCUCACCAGAGUAGCAAUUGGAGGGCAAGUCUGGUGCCAGCAGCCGCGGUAAUUCCAGCUCCAAUAGCGUAUAUUAAACUUGUUGAAGUUAAAAAGCUCGUAGUUGAAUUUUAGCGUGUUCGAGUUUGCCAUUCGUUUGGCUCUUUCGAGUUCGCUUUUGGGUUUUCCCUUUUUACUUUGAGAAAAUUAGAGUGUUUCAAGCAGACUUUUGUCUUGAAUACUUCAGCAUGGAAUAAUAGAGUAGGACUUUGGUUCUAUUUUGUUGGUUAUUGAACCUUAGUAAUGGUUAAUAGGAACGGUUGGGGGCAUUCGUAUUUAA